rnacentral:rRNA from 1 species
CCUACGGGGUGCAGCAGUGAGGAAUAUUGGUCAAUGGACGAGAGUCUGAACCAGCCAAGUAGCGUGAAGGAUGACUGCCCUAUGGGUUGUAAACUUCUUUUAUAUGGGAAUAAAAUGUUCCACGUGUGGGAUUUUGUAUGUACCAUAUGAAUAAGGAUCGGCUAACUCCGUGCCAGCAGCCGCGGUAAUACGGAGGAUCCGAGCGUUAUCCGGAUUGAUUGGGUUUAAAGGGAGCGUAGGUGGAUUGUUAAGUCAGUUGUGAAAGUUUGCGGCUCAACCGUAAAAUUGCAGUUGAAACUGGCAGUCUUGAGUACAGUAGAGGUGGGCGGAAUUCGUGGUGUAGCGGUGAAAUGCUUAGAUAUCACGAAGAACUCCGAUUGCGAAGGCAGCUCACUGGACUGCAACUGACACUGAGGCUCGAAAGUGUGGGUAUCAAACAGGAUUAGAUACCCCAGUAGUC